AUUGAACGCUGGCGGCAUGCCUUACACAUGCAAGUCGAACGGUAACGGGCCUUCGGGUGCCGACGAGUGGCGAACGGGUGAGUAAUACAUCGGAACGUGCCCGAUCGUGGGGGAUAACGAGGCGAAAGCUUUGCUAAUACCGCAUACGAUCUACGGAUGAAAGCAGGGGACCGCAAGGCCUUGCGCGGACGGAGCGGCCGAUGGCAGAUUAGGUAGUUGGUGGGAUAAAAGCUUACCAAGCCGACGAUCUGUAGCUGGUCUGAGAGGAUGAUCAGCCACACUAGGACUGAGACACGGCCCAGACUCCUACGGGAGGCAGCAGUGGGGAAUUUUGGACAAUGGGCGCAAGCCUGAUCCAGCCAUGCCGCGUGCAGGAUGAAGGCCUUCGGGUUGUAAACUGCUUUUGUACGGAACGAAAAGCCUUCUUUUAAUACAGGAGGGUCAUGACGGUACCGUAAGAAUAAGCACCGGCUAACUACGUG
rnacentral:rRNA from 1 species